rnacentral:rRNA from 1 species
AGGUUACUGCUAUCGGUGUUCGCCUAAGCCAUGCGAAUCAUAUGUUCGUAAGAACAUGGCGUACUGCUCAGUAACACGUGGAUAACCUGCCCUUGGGUCCGGCAUAACCCCGGGAAACUGGGGAUAAUUCCGGAUAACGCACAUAUGCUGGAAUGCUUUAUGCGUAAAAUGGAUUCGUCUGCCCAAGGAUGGGUCUGCGGCCUAUCAGGUAGUAGUGGGUGUAAUGUACCUACUAGCCUACGACGGGUACGGGUUGUGAGAGCAAGAGCCCGGAGAUGGAUUCUGAGACAUGAAUCCAGGCCCUACGGGGCGCAGCAGGCGCGAAAACUUUACAAUGCGGGAAACCGUGAUAAGGGGACACCGAGUGCCAGCAUCCUAUGCUGGCUGUCCGGGUGUGUAAAAUACACCUGUUAGCAAGGGCCGGGCAAGACCGGUGCCAGCCGCCGCGGUAACACCGGCGGCCCGAGUGGUGAUCGUGAUUAUCGGGUCUAAAGGGUCCGUAGCCGGUUUGGUCAGUCCUCCGGGAAAUCUGACAGCUUAACUGUUAGGCUUUCGGAGGAUACUGCCAGACUUGGAACCGGGAGAGGUAAGAGGUACUACAGGGGUAGGAGUGAAAUCUUGUAAUCCCUGUGGGACCACCUGUGGCGAAGGCGUCUUACCAGAACGGGUUCGACGGUGAGGGACGAAAGCUGGGGGCACGAACCGGAUUAGAUACCCGGGUAGUCCCAGCCGUAAACGAUGCUCGCUAGGUGUCAGGCAUGGCGCGACCGUGUCUGGUGCCGCAGGGAAGCCGUGAAGCGAGCCACCUGGGAAGUACGGCCGCAAGGCUGAAACUUAA